UAGGGAAUAUUGGUAAUGGGCGAAAGCCUGAACCAGCAACGCCGCGUGUGCGAUGAAGGCCUUCGGGUUGUAAAGCACUUUUGACCGGGACGAGGAAGGACGGUACCGGUGGAAUAAGCCUCGGCUAACUACGUGCCAGCAGCCGCGGUAAAACGUAGUAGGCGAGCGUUAUCCGGAUUUACUGGGUGUAAAGCGCGUGCAGGCGGUAAGCUAAGUUGGGUGUGAAAGCUCCUGGCUCAACUGGGAGAGGUCGC
rnacentral:rRNA from 1 species